rnacentral:rRNA from 1 species
GACGAACGCUGGCGGCGUGCCUAAUACAUGCAAGUAGAACGCUGAAGAGAGGAGCUUGCUCUUCUUGGAUGAGUUGCGAACGGGUGAGUAACGCGUAGGUAACCUGCCUGGUAGCGGGGGAUAACUAUUGGAAACGAUAGCUAAUACCGCAUAAAAUUGAUUAUUGCAUGAUAAUUAAUUGAAAGAUGCAACUGCAUCACUACCAGAUGGACCUGCGUUGUAUUAGCUAGUUGGUGAGGUAACGGCUCACCAAGGCGACGAUACAUAGCCGACCUGAGAGGGUGAUCGGCCACACUGGGACUGAGGCACGGCCCAGACUCCUACGGGAGGCAGCAGUAGGGAAUCUUCGGCAAUGGGGGGAACCCUGACCGAGCAACGCCGCGUGAGUGAAGAAGGUUUUCGGAUCGUAAAGCUCUGUUGUAAGAGAAGAACGGGUGUGAGAGUGGAAAGUUCACACUGUGACGGUAUCUUACCAGAAAGGGACGGCUAACUACGUGCCAGCAGCCGCGGUAAUACGUAGGUCCCGAGCGUUGUCCGGAUUUAUUGGGCGUAAAGCGAGCGCAGGCGGUUAGAUAAGUCUGAAGUUAAAGGCUGUGGCUUAACCAUAGUAUGCUUUGGAAACUGUUUAACUUGAGUGCAGAAGGGGAGAGUGGAAUUCCAUGUGUAGCGGUGAAAUGCGUAGAUAUAUGGAGGAACACCGGUGGCGAAAGCGGCUCUCUGGUCUGUAACUGACGCUGAGGCUCGAAAGCGUGGGGAGCAAACAGGAUUAGAUACCCUGGUAGUCCACGCCGUAAACGAUGAGUGCUAGGUGUUAGGCCCUUUCCGGGGCUUAGUGCCGCAGCUAACGCAUUAAGCACUCCGCCUGGGGAGUACGACCGCAAGGUUGAAACUCAAAGGAAUUGACGGGGGCCCGCACAAGCGGUGGAGCAUGUGGUUUAAUUCGAAGCAACGCGAAGAACCUUACCAGGUCUUGACAUCCCUCUGACCGCUCUAGAGAUAGAGUUUUCCUUCGGGACAGAGGUGACAGGUGGUGCAUGGUUGUCGUCAGCUCGUGUCGUGAGAUGUUGGGUUAAGUCCCGCAACGAGCGCAACCCCUAUUGUUAGUUGCCAUCAUUGAGUUGGGCACUCUAGCGAGACUGCCGGUAAUAAACCGGAGGAAGGUGGGGAUGACGUCAAAUCAUCAUGCCCCUUAUGACCUGGGCUACACACGUGCUACAAUGGCUGGUACAACGAGUCGCAAGCCGGUGACGGCAAGCUAAUCUCUGAAAGCCAGUCUCAGUUCGGAUUGUAGGCUGCAACUCGCCUACAUGAAGUCGGAAUCGCUAGUAAUCGCGGAUCAGCACGCCGCGGUGAAUACGUUCCCGGGCCU